AGAGUUUGAUCCUGGCUCAGGAUGAACGCUAGCGGCAGGCCUAACACAUGCAAGUCGAACGGUAAGGACUUGUUUGUGGGUUAUAUGAGUGGUGUAUGGGUGAGUAACGCGUAUGCAACCUACCCUUAACAGGGGGAUAGCCCGAAGAAAUUCGGAUUAAUACCCCAUAACAUCACGUUAUUGCAUAAUAAUGUGAUUAAAACUCCGGUGGUUAAGGAUGGGCAUGCGUGACAUUAGAUUGUUGGUGAGGUAAUGGUUUAUUAAGUUAGUGAUGUUUAGGGGGUUUGAGAGGGUAGUUUUUUAUAUUGGUAUUGAGAUAUGGAUUAGAUUUUUAUGGGAGGCAGCAGUGAGGAAUAUUGCGCAAUGGACGAAAGUCUGACGCAGCCAUGCCGCGUGCAGGAUGACGGCCCUAUGGGUUGUAAACUGCUUUUUUACAGGAAGAAAUUUUUUGAUGUGUUGGGAAUUGAUGGUACUGUAUGAAUAAGCACCGGCUAACUCCGUGCCAGUAGUUGUGGUAAUACGGAGGGUGCAAGCGUUAUCCGGAUUUAUUGGGUUUAAAGGGCGCGUAGGCGGGAUAAUAAGUCAGUGGUGAAAUAUUGUAGUUUAAUUGUAGAAUUGCCAUUGAUACUGUUAUUCUUGAGUGCGAUUGAGGUAGGCGGAAUGUGUAAUGUAGUGGUGAGAUGUUUGGAUAUUACACAGAAUAUUGAUUGUGUAGGUAGCUUACUAAGUCGUAACUGACGCUGAGGCACGAAAGCGUGGGGAUCGAACAGGAUUAGAUAUCCUGGUAGUCCACGCUGUAAACGAUGAUCACUAGCUGUUGGCGAUAUAUUGAUCAGCGGCAAAGCGAAAGCAUUAAGUGAUCCACCUGGGGAGUACGAUCGUAAGAUUGAAACUCAAAGGAAUUGAUGGGGGUUUGUAUAAGUGAGGAAUAUGUGGUUUAAUUUGAUGAUAUGUGAGGAACCUUACCUGGGCUUAAAUGCAGGACGACGUACUGGGAAACUAGUACUCCCCUCGGGGCGGACUGCAAGGUGCUGCAUGGUUGUCGUCAGCUCGUGCCGUGAGGUGUCGGGUUAAGUCCCAUAACGAGCGCAACCCCUAUCGUUAGUUGCCAGCGGAUUAUGUUGGGGAUUCUAACGAAACUGCCGGUGUAAACCGAGAGGAAGGUGGGGAUGACGUCAAAUCAGCACGGCCCUUAUGUUUAGGGUUACACACGUGUUACAAUGGUCGGUACAGAGGGUAGCUAUCUGGUUAUAGGAUGCUAAUCUCGAAAGCCGGUCUUAGUUCGGAUCGAAGUCUGUAAUUUGACUUCGUGAAGCUGGAUUUGUUAGUAAUCACGCAUUAGUUAUGGUGCGGUGAAUAUGUUUUUGGGUUUUGUACACACCGCCCGUUAAGUUAUGGAAGUUGGGGGUAUUUGAAGUUUUGUAAUUGUAAGGAGUGGUUUAGGGUAAAAUUAGUGAUUGGGGUUAAGUUGUAAUAAGGUA
rnacentral:rRNA from 1 species